rnacentral:lncRNA from 1 species
CGCCAGCAACGGCGGCAGCCAUGACGGCUCCCCGUCUGCCCUGUUCAAGCUCUCCACCAACACCGGCAGCAGCAUUUCCUUCAGGCUCCACCCCAACACCUCCCGCUCGGUGACCACAACCUCGACCACCAACUCGUCAGCUCCAACUCCAGUGGCCCCGGCAGCUGCAUCAGCAGCAGAAGAAGACUCAUCACCAGCCCCCUCCCUUGACCUCCUCAGCCGCCAGCUCGCGGCAGGGGACUACCGCCAGGCCGACGAGACCACCCGGGCGCUCAUCAUCGACCUUGCUGGCGA